rnacentral:rRNA from 1 species
UACGGAGGGUGCAAGCGUUAUCCGGAUUCACUGGGUUUAAAGGGAGCGUAGGUGGACAGAUAAGUCAGCGGUGAAAUACCUGAGCUUAACUCAGGAACUGCCAUUGAUACUGUUUGUCUUGAAUAUCGUAGAGGUAAGCGGAAUAUGUCAUGUAGCGGUGAAAUGCUUAGAUAUGACAUAGAACACCAAUUGCGAAGGCAGCUUACUAUGCGAAUAUUGACACUGAGGCUCGAAAGCGUGGGGAUCAAACAGG